GUGAGAUGGGAAGAUGUGAGUUUCAAGUUCUACAAGGCAGAACUUUCAGUGAAAUUGAUGAAGACGUGGAGAUUCAGCUUUAAGAAAUAAGAAGUGACAUCAUUUACUGAACACGGCAAUAGUUCUACUGGAUGUGACAGCUGACUGCCUCCGGGAACAGCCGAGAGCAGACUCUGGAGGCCCAAGGCAAGGACAGCAGCAAAUUCUGGUAUUUUCCCAACACGUUCUCCCAGCUCUCAGUAAUCAGAAGACCUGGGACUUUCUGAGCUUUCCCAGCCUGCCUGUGUGUCGCCUUUCAAGUGAUUUCCCUUGCUGCUUUCGAUAACACGACUUUAUCCCUGCCGGAGAGGCUGUUAAGCACUGAUGGGGAGAGGUAAAGGCCUGCACCAGCCUUCGCCCGGCGCUGGGCCCCAGCCAUUGGAGUGGGGUCAUAAAAGCAGAAAAAUGAGCAUGCGUUGUGCUUGGGCUGCAGUCAUUCUGCCUAAAUUGGGGAACAUUCUGCAAAUAUUUCAAGUCAAGUACUACUGGUGCUGUAGUUGCUGCCUCACAGUUGCUGGGCUGUAGCGGCCAUAGGUCUGUCUCGGUGCCUCCAGCUGGGCAGCCUCCCGUUUGGACACACAAAACUACCAAAAGACUGAAAAUUGGCCCUGUGAAUUUGCUCACGGACACUUACAGGAGUGGGAGCUCUGCUUCUCUGCCUCCUGGCUGCAAACGCAUUGUAAGCAAAUGUGAAUCUUCUCGCAAUGCAACCAUCUCCUGAGCAAGUACGCAGCAGAUGUGCCACAACCUACAAGGGCAUGGAUGGAUGGAUGGGCAGUGGCUGUACUGCCAGCCUUCUUCCAGAACAUUUUGUUUUUCUCUUGGUUCCCACAUGGCACUAUGACAGUCACAACUUCCAGACAAGACCACAGGCAAUUCUUGCUCUCCUAAGGACUCAUCUCAUGCAGGUAUUCAGGACUUCACUGGUAAUCACUCUUAAUCACUCUGACUGAACCUGUAGAGACAUACAGAGAGACAUACACACGGUGUCCAUCAGCAGACAAUAAAGGAUUUUAUGUUUCUCCCUACCACAGAAUUCUCCAUGUGGAAGGGUCAUUUCUCUGGCUGGGAACAGGAGCCUCUGGCCAUUGUCUUCAUCAGGCCCACAGCUGGGAAGAAGAAUUUUCUCCAUAUCACUUGCUAGGACCAGCUGCUUGGGAAAUAAGAUUAUAGAUCAUGUGGAGCACAGUGGCAUCACUCCUGGAGAGCUCUCUCCCACAUCAGAAACCUAAAAAUCCCAUCUCGACUGCUCUGAAUCAGUAGAGACAAAGAGGUGUAUAUUUCAAACAAAAGCUCCAAAGCAAAUCUAUGCAAAUCUCUAUAGUCUACUACUACUUGAAUGGUAACCAAAAGGAAAUAGGCUGCCAAAAUGCAGCAGGGCUCAGGGAGGGUUUGUACAAAGCUGUAUUACAGACUCACCUGCAUGGCAAGUGUGUUGCACUGCCUAUUGUACUGCUCUCCUACGUUCCCAUGUUUCAUUAUAGAUUUGCCAUUUCUCAACAUGUAAAAAUGGGAUGUGCUGGUGUGGUUUAAAUGGUGCUAAGAGCACUGCAGAGAGGCACAGUGAUAGGUGUGUGGGAAACAAGAGAAGAGAGGAAUUCUCCUGAGCAAAGAGCAAUAUCAAGCAAAUGCUGAACUGACAACCUCUGCUGCUGAGACUGAAAUGCUCUGGCAAAAAACCACAUAUAUCCAUACAGCAGUGAACAGCCCCUCAGCGGAGAGCGUAUCGGGUAUGUAUUCAGCACGUAAAGCAUCAGCUGUAUGAAAUACUGCAGACAGGAUAAUCCUGCUGUUUUAUCUAACUGAGGAAAUUUAGGUUUGGAUUUGAAGGGCAAUUUUCCAGGGCUUUCCAACUUGUAAAUUCAAAGGCAAAUGGGUGUAUGCUGAUGCUGGUCUCACACCUCCCUUGGGUCAAGGAUGAUUCAAGACAACUGAGAGGGAAGUCUCCAGGGCUGGGUUUCUGAAUAUGCUGUUUUCUCUCCACUGCAGCAUGGUGCAAUGUUCAGUGCUACCCAAGACACCAACAUUUCAGCACUGUUAUGCCCUGUGCCUCUUGUGCUCCUGGCGGGCUUCCAUUUGGUCUUGGCGCUGGUUGGAUGGCCCUCAUGGUGAUGGUUUUGGGAAAAUGGGAAUAUAAUCUCUUUGUCAGUGCCCUGGUGGAAUAAAGAUCAUGUGUAGCCUGAAGAAAAGAAAGUAAGGAAAAAAUGGGUUAGAGGUGACAUUGGAGACUUGUUUGCCAGGAUUUAAUACAUAUUGGAUAAUUGGCAGCUGGCUUUCCAUUGCCACAUUUUCCAUCUCCAAUCUUUUUCUUUCCUUAGGCAACAUUUACUUCUGCUUUUUAAACAAAACACUCUCAGAGCCAGAAAAUCACAGUGCAGACUGACUGACUGCUUUCAGACAGCUCUCCAAACCUCCUAAACGCACUAAACCACCCCUUUGAGUAGCUCUUGGUGAUUUCAAUAGGAAUAAGGACGCUGCUCUACCAGGAAGCAUUAGUGAAAACAUGAUCAUUCAUAAGAGCUGCUCGGUAUUUCUGGGCUGAAAUUAUCCACAACAGUAUUUUUGUAAUUCUGUUUUUAAUCUCUCAUAGUGGGAGGAGGAGAUGUAGUUCCAGCUCACCAUCUAACAUGGUAAUAUAUUUUUCCAAUGUUGAGAAACAGUUAAUGAAACACAGGAGACCAAGGCCAGCACUGGAUCUCGGCAUCACAGAGGCACGUUACUGGUGUGGGGCUGGGACAUGGUCAAACCAUGGCUGGCUGUAUAGACCCAGAGCCUGUUUUUAACGCUGCCAGACUCCUCAGCAGCAGCACAUGUUGGAUUUAUCAGCCCUUAUGAGAUAUGGCACCGCAGAAAUUGGCCUGAGACUGCCGGGCUAUUUACUACCGCUAUACCAGAAUAAUUCAUAUGCUUAUUCCCUGUUCUGAAUGCGUCCAAAACUGAACCUCCCAGGUGAAGUUGCACUGAUUUAAAUCCAGCCAUAAAUCUGU